rnacentral:rRNA from 1 species
UCGACGGGGAUGGUACAUGCGAGGGAGUAGUUUACUAUGACCAGACAAGUGCCAUCCUAGUGGCGGACGGGUGAGUAACGCGUGGGCAACCUGCCCUGUACAGGGGGAUAACACUUAGAAAUAGGUGCUAAUACCGCAUGAGCGCACAAAGGCGCAUGCCUAUGUGCGGGAAGCCCGCGAGGGCGGUACGGGAUGGGCCCGCGUCUGAUUAGCCAGUUGGCAGGGUAACGGCCUACCAAAGCGACGAUCAGUAGCCGGCCUGAGAGGGUGGACAGCCACAUUGGGACUGAGACACGGCCCAAACUCCUACGGGAGGCAGCAGUGGGGGAUAUUGCACAAUGGGGGAAACCCUGAUGCAGCGACGCCGCGUGAGUGAAGGAGCGUUUCGGCGCGUGAAGCUCUAUCAGCAGGGAAGACAAACUGCCCCGGAAGGGGCAGCCGGACGGUACCUGACCAAGAAGCCCCGGCUAACUACGUGCCAGCAGCCGCGGUAAUACGUAGGGGGCAAGCGUUAUCCGGAUUUACUGGGUGUAAAGGGAGCGUAGACGGCAAGACAAGCCUGGAGUGAAAGGCGGGGGCCCAACCCCCGGACUGCUCUGGGAACUGUCUGGCUGGAGUGCAGGAGGGGUAAGUGGAAUUCCUAGUGUAGCGGUGAAAUGCGUAGAUAUUAGGAGGAACACCAGUGGCGAAGGCGGCUUACUGGACUGUAACUGACGUUGAGGCUCGAAAGCGUGGGGAGCAAACAGGAUUAGAUACCCUGGUAGUCCACGCCGUAAACGAUGACCACUANGUGUCGGGGGCUU